rnacentral:rRNA from 1 species
CCCCUAGAUGUUCUGGGCCGCACGCGCGCUACACUGAACAGUUCAACAAGUCUUAACCUUGGCCGAUAGGUCUGGGUAAUCUUUGAACGCUGUUCGUGAUUGGGAUAGACCUUUGCAAUUAUGGGUCUUCAACGAGGAAUUCCUAGUAAACGCAAGCCAUCAGCUUGCAUUGAUUACGUCCCUGCCCUUUGUACACACCGCCCGUCGCACCUACCGAUUGAAUGGUCCGGUGAAAUCUCGGGACGGCGGCUUGGUCGCUUGCGUCCGACUGCUGAAACUUGAUUAAACCAUAUCAUUUAGAGGAAGGUGAAGUCGUANCA